rnacentral:lncRNA from 10 species
CACCUGGCCUGUGUUGACAUUCGUGCCAUUGAGCUGUUGGACUUUCUCAGCUCCCUGGUCCUGCUCAUCAGCUCCCUCUCACUCACAGUGGUCACCUAUGUUUACAUCAUCUCCACCAUUCUGAAGAUACCCUCAGGCCAAGGUCAACGUAAAGCCUUUGCCACCCGUGCCUCUCACUUUACGGUGGUCUCCAUGGGCUAUGGGAUCUCCAUCUUUGUCUACUACAGGCGUGCACCUCCAUGCCCAGCUAAUUUUUGUAUCUUUUGUAGAGACGGGGUUUCACCAUGUUGCCCAGGCUGG